rnacentral:rRNA from 1 species
AGGUUAAGUUGUUAAGGGCGCACGGUGGAUGCCUUGGCACUAGGAGCCGAUGAAGGACGGGACUAACACCGAUAUGCUUCGGGGAGCUGUAAGUAAGCUUUGAUCCGGAGAUUUCCGAAUGGGGGAACCCACUGUUCGUAAUGGAACAGUAUCUUAACGUGAAUCCAUAGCGUUAAGAAGGCACACCCAGGGAACUGAAACAUCUAAGUACCUGGAGGAGAAGAAAGAAAAAUCGAUUCCCUGAGUAGCGGCGAGCGAAACGGGAACAGCCCAAACCAAGAGGCUUGCCUCUUGGGGUUGUAGGACACUCUAUACGGAGUUACAAAAGGAUGGGUUAGACGAACCGUUCUGGAAAGGACGGCCAGAGAAGGUAAAAGCCCUGUAGUCGAAAAUCCAUCCUCUCCUGAGUGGAUCCUGAGUACGGCGGAACACGUGAAAUUCCGUCGGAAUCCGGGAGGACCAUCUCCCAAGGCUAAAUACUCCCUAGUGACCGAUAGUGAACCAGUACCGUGAGGGAAAGGUGAAAAGCACCCCGGGAGGGGAGUGAAAGAGAACCUGAAACCGUGUGCCUACAAGUAGUCAGAGCCCGUUAACGGGUGAUGGCGUGCCUUUUGUAGAAUGAACCGGCGAGUUACGAUUACGUGCAAGGUUAAGCAGAAGAUGCGGAGCCGCAGCGAAAGCGAGUCUGAAUAGGGCGUUUUGAGUACGUGGUCGUAGACCCGAAACCAGGUGAUCUACCCAUGUCCAGGGUGAAGGUGAGGUAACACUCACUGGAGGCCCGAACCCACGCACGUUGAAAAGUGCGGGGAUGAGGUGUGGGUAGCGGA